rnacentral:rRNA from 1 species
GACAGAGGAUGCAAGCGUUAUCCGGAAUGAUUGGGCGUAAAGCGUCUGUAGGUGGCUUUUUAAGUCCGCCGUCAAAUCCCAGGGCUCAACCCUGGACAGGCGGUGGAAACUACCAAGCUGGAGUACGGUAGGGGCAGAGGGAAUUUCCGGUGGAGCGGGUGAAAUGACGUAGAUAUUGGAAAGACCACCGAUGGCGAAGGCACUCUAGCUGGGCCAUUACUGACACUGAGAGACGAAAGCUAGGGGAGCAAAUGGG